AUUGAACGCUGGCGGCAUGCCUUACACAUGCAAGUCGAACGGCAGCACGGGUGCUUGCACCUGGUGGCGAGUGGCGAACGGGUGAGUAAUACAUCGGAACGUACCUUAUCGUGGGGGAUAACGCAGCGAAAGCUGUGCUAAUACCGCAUACGCCCUGAGGGGGAAAGCGGGGGAUCGAAAGACCUCGCGCGAUUAGAGCGGCCGAUAUCUGAUUAGCUUGUUGGUGGGGUAAAAGCCCACCAAGGCGACGAUCUGUAGCGGGUCUGAGAGGAUGGUCCCCCCACACUGGUACUGAGACACGGACCAGACUCCUACGGGAGGCAGCAGUGAGGAAUAUUGGUCAAUGGGCGAGAGCCUGAACCAGCCAAGUCGCGUGAAGGAAGAAGGAUCUAUGGUUCGUAAACUUCUUUUGCAGGGGAAUAAAGUGCAGGACGUGUCCUGUUUUGUAUGUACCCUGAGAAUAAGGAUCGGCUAACUCCGUGCCAGCAGCCGCGG
rnacentral:rRNA from 1 species